rnacentral:rRNA from 1 species
UACGUAGGGGCUAGCGUUAUCCGGAUUUAUUGGGUUUAAAGGGUCCCGCAGGCGGAUUAAUAAGUCAGUGGUGAAAUCCUGCAGCUUAACUGUGGAACUGCCAUUGAUACUGUUAGUCUUGAGUAUGGUCAAGGUAGGCGGAAUGUGUAAUGUAGCGGUGAAAUGCUUAGAUAUUACACAGAACACCGAUUGCGAAGGCAGCUUACUGGGCCAUUACUGACGCUGAUGCACGAAAGCGUGGGGAUCGAACAGGAUUAGA